AGAAUCAACGCUGGCGGCGUGCCUAACACAUGCAAGUCGCACGAGAAAGGGUAGCAAUACCUGAGUAAAGUGGCGCACGGGUGAGUAACACGUGAAUGAUCUACCUCCGAGUGGGGAAUAACUGAGAGAAAUCUUAGCUAAUACCGCAUAACACUUACGAGUCAAAGCAGCAAUGCGCUUGGAGAGGAGUUCGCGGCCGAUUAGUUAGUUGGCGGGUAAUGGCCCACCAAGACGAUGAUCGGUA
rnacentral:rRNA from 1 species